AAUCGUUCUCGGGGCGGGGUGUAAUUCCCCACCGGCGGUAAAGAAACUCAAUUUCCAAGCCCGCGAGCGCCCACAUUUUAUAGGUGUGGGGUCAGCAGAUCUGGUGAGACUCCAGAGCCGACGGUCAUAGUCCGGAUAAGAGAGAGCGUGC
rfam:Thalassolituus oleivorans MIL-1 complete genome